UGGGGAAUAUUGGACAAUGGGCGAAAGCCUGAUGCAGCAAUGCCGCGUGUGUGAAGAAGGCCUGCGGGUUGUAAAGCACUUUCGGUAGGAAAGAUUAUGACGGUACCUACAGAAGAAGCACCGGCUAACUCCGUGCCAGCAGCCGCGGUAAUACGGAGGGUGCAAGCGUUAAUCGGAAUUACUGGGCGUAAAGCGCGUGUAGGCGGUCUUGUAAGUCGGAUGUGAAAUCCCCGGGCUCAACCUGGGAACUGCAUUCGAUACUGCUCGACUAGAGUAUGGAAGAGGGAAGCGGAAUUCCGGGUGUAGCGGUGAAAUGCGUAGAGAUGUGGAGGAACACCGAUGGCGAAGGCAGCCCCCUGGGUUAACACUGACGCUCAUGCACGAAAGCGUGGGGAGCAAACAGGAUUAGAUACCCCCGUAGUCCCUGAGCGGGCUGGCAAGGCGCAU
rnacentral:rRNA from 1 species